rnacentral:tRNA from 1 species
UCCCUGGUGGUCUAGGGGUUAGGACUCUGGUCUUUCACCUCUGCGGCCUGGGAUCAAUCCCUGGUCUGGGAA